rnacentral:rRNA from 1 species
AACGAACGCUGGCGGCAUGCCUAACACAUGCAAGUCGAACGAGACCUUCGGGUCUAGUGGCGCACGGGUGCGUAACGCGUGGGAAUCUGCCCUUGGGUUCGGAAUAACAGUUGGAAACGACUGCUAAUACCGGAUGAUGACGUAAGUCCAAAGAUUUACCGCCCAAGGAUGAGCCCGCGUAGGAUUAGCUAGUUGGUGAGGUAAAGGCUCACCAAGGCGACGAUCCUUAGCUGGUCUGAGAGGAUGAUCAGCCACACUGGGACUGAGACACGGCCCAGACUCCUACGGGAGGCAGCAGUGGGGAAUAUUGGACAAUGGGCGAAAGCCUGAUCCAGCAAUGCCGCGUGAGUGAUGAAGGCCUUAGGGUUGUAAAGCUCUUUUACCCGGGAUGAUAAUGACAGUACCGGGAGAAUAAGCUCCGGCUAACUCCGUG